CCUACGGGAGACUGCAGUGAGGAAUAUUGGUCAAUGGCCGGAAGGCUGAACCAGCCAUGCCGCGUGAAGGUCAGUGCCCUAUGGGCGUUAAACUUCUUUUGUGCGGGAGCAAUAAUGGUCACGUGUGGCCAGACGAGAGUACCGUACGAAUAAGCAUCGGCUAACUCCGUGCCAGCAGCCGCGGUAAUACGGGGGAUGCAAGCGUUAUCCGGAUUUAUUGGGUUUAAAGGGUGCGUAGGCUGUGAGGUAAGUCAGCGGUGAAAUGCCCCCGCUCAACGGGGUGAAGUGCCAUUGAUACUGCCUGGCUGGAAUGCGGAUGCCGUGGGAGGAAUGUGUGGUGUAGCGGUGAAAUGCAUAGAUAUCACACAGAACACCGAUUGCGAAGGCAUCUCACGAAGCCGCGAUUGACGCUGAUGCACGAAAGCGUGGGUAUCAAACAGGAUUAGAUACCCUAGUAGUC
rnacentral:rRNA from 1 species